CUGCCAUCCCCACAAUGAACAAUAUGUUAGACAUAGUCUUGAGACAUAAUUAAGUAAAUAAAGGUAUACUUCAAUAUAGUUUCAGAACAUAGGUCCUGAGUUUGAAAAGCUACUGCUACAAUCAUAGAUAUCACAAUCGAAAAGAUUCACAGACUAGUAUAGAACAAAGAGGAGAUUUGGUAAUCAUAAUAGAGGAAGCAUACCUCCCAAACAAUGAAGCAAUCUUGAUUCACUCCUUUUUCACCUCUCCUAGAGAAUAAUGAAGCAAAAUUCUUAGAGCCAACAACAUUUACUGUCCCUGAAGACCUUAAUAUCAAGUCAUUUUUCUUGGCUUCUUUAGCCAUAGCUUCAACAGCUUCUUUACCAUCAUAUUUCCCAUUCCCAGUACAUCCAACAACAUUUACAGUCCCUGAAGACCUUAAUAUCAAGUCAUUUUUCUUGGCUUCUUUAGCCAUAGCUUCAACAGCUUCUCUACCAUCAUAUUUCCCAUUCCCAGUACAAUUCUUUCUUUU
rnacentral:lncRNA from 1 species